UCCUAAAAUGGUUCACCACAA
rnacentral:siRNA from 1 species